rnacentral:rRNA from 1 species
UACGGAGGGAGCUAGCGUUGUUCGGAUAUACUGGGCGUAAAGCGCACGUAGGCGGCGCCGUAAGUCAGGGGUGAAAUCCCGGAGCUCAACUCCGGAACUGCCCUUGAAACUGCAGUGCUAGAAUCCUGGAGAGGCGAGUGGAAUUCCGAGUGUAGAGGUGAAAUUCGUAGAUAUUCGGAAGAACACCAGUGGCGAAGGCGACUCGCUGGACAGGUAUUGACGCUGAGGUGCGAAAGCGUGGGUAGCAAACAGG